CUGGGCAAACCCCACCCGGAGCAAGACCGAAUAGAGGGUAAAGGGACGCCCGGCCCUAUCCCCGGGUAGGUCGCUUGACCUUGGUGGUAACAUCAAGGCUAGAUGGAUGGUCACCGCCCUGAAUUCAUCAGGGAACAGAACUCGGCUUAUAGGUUUGCUUAGCCC
rnacentral:RNase_P_RNA from 1 species